CUGGUAUGUCAGCUGUUGUUGCACAAGCUCUGGCUGCCGUUUCCUGAGGUUACUGCAACCUGCAGUUCUGGACCUGCAGUGCACAAAGCAAGAAAAGCCUUCUGUGUCCGUGCAGAGCCCUGCUGCAGGCACCUGAUGUAAAGCACACAGAGUCUGGGGGCAAGAGGAGAAGUCAACGCGUGCACCCGUAAUUUUUGGUGUUUUGCAGCAAUGCGAGUAAGUGCCGGUGUUUGUCCUCACCCCUCUCCCUCGGCCCUGCUGUUCUGAACCGAGGGGAGGCGCUGGAUCCGCGGCGGGUGCCAAACGGGCUGCAGAGCUCGUGGCCAUUCGUUUCUGCAAAAUCACCCGGGUAAUGCAGGCUCCAGUGCCGAUGCAGUUUAUAUAGAAACUCCAACCGAGGCGAGAGGAUUUCUCACUCCUUAUUAUGCAAGCGGAAUGAAACAGCUUUCAUCUCAUUUUCCAAAGGGUGCUGAAUGCCACGAGGGCCCGGUGGCAACGCACAAAAGAAAGGAAGGCCGUCGCACGCCGCAGAACUGCAAGGAAAGGCGACGCUGCGCUCCGCGGGCCGUCUUCGCCGUGAGGAGCCCCGAGGCGUCCCGCGGUCUGCUGUUCUCUGACUGGAGCCUGUACUGCACGUGAAGAAAGGAAGAGAAAAGUAAAUGGAACAGAACCCACAGCCACGUCCUUUCCUUCUUGUGCGGAAGGGCUGGCCUGCCUCCUCCAGCACACAGACCAGCUGCAGAACAUACCAGGAAGCUGCCACUGGUCCUGAGCACGUUCACCGGAGUCUUGAGAGUCUGCUGUGCCACAGCUGGAUGCUCAUCCAUCCAAGAACCAGGCUUUUCUCUGCCUUUCCACAGCCCACAGUGCAGUCAGGAAGCAAAGCAUGCUAAGGGAUAUUAGCAACUGCCAAGCUGCCAGAGUUACCACAAGGCCUGACGACACGCUGCUCCUGUGCCAGGCAGGACGGGUCUGUGGGCUUGUCUGUACUGCUGGAAAACAAGCUGCGAGGAACGAGCACGCACAAGCAAUCUGCAGGCCAGGAUCGCAAAACUCCAUUUGGAUCAUCUGUCAUCCCCAGUCUGCCUACGUUGUUAUUCUGUAGCUGCAGAUCUCAAGAUGAUGAACAAUGCUGGAUACUCAUCAACCUUAUUUCAAAAACGGAGUAACUAUGAUGUAAUGAGAUUAAGAAAUGUGCUUGAUACCAUUAAACGAAUUAGCAUCCAUAUAAAGAUUAGAAAACAUUUCCCUAUUCCUGGCACCGCUCGUAAUCCGCUGGACAAGAGCGUCCAAACCACUUCUUACUGCCAUUCGCUGCUUCAGCAAAUCGGUGCACUGAAGGAGGCAUUAAUUCACUCUUCAGGGCUUUUUAAGAAACUUUAAUAUGACUGAAAGAGGACUUCAGAUGCUGCAGAGAAGAGGCACUUUAGGGACUGAAAUUCAAUCUGCAAAAGCUCAUACAAAUUCAAAACCAGGAGUAUCGUAUUUAUGCAGAGCUGAUGCUCUAUGCAUAUAGAAGUGUGGGUUUUGGUAGACCCUGUAAGCUUCAGGGAGCUGUUGAAGGGAAUAAAAUACAAGUAUACAGCCAUGAUAUUUUAUUAUGUUUCCUUUCUUAGGCCUUUUUGGGGGUUAUCAAAUCUUUGGUGAGCAUUUGGCAUAUGGUUAAGUAAACUCACGAGGAAAAUGUGAAGGUAGGAAAUUGAAGCAACUGGUGAUGCAAAUUCUGUAAUUUUCAUAGUUAUCCACUGGGGACUUCUCAGGUCCUUUGUGUUACCAGAAGUCAAGUUUUACAGUCAGAAUGUACACGGUCUCUUUAUGAUUUCCUUGUGAUGGUGCAGUUGUUCCAGAUGGAUAUCAGUUCAAUUAAGAGCAAAGAAUGACUUGAGCUAUAUUCAGUGAAUUUGGAAGCAUGCUUGACAUCAAAUUUCUUUGCCUCUGGUGGUUUUUUUUAAGCACCCAUACAAUGCACUAUUUUAAUUUUUUAAAAAACUCCUAUAAAUAAAACAUAUGAAGGAAAACACUGCUAGAUUAUUCUUUUCUUCUUGUUUUAGAACCUUUGAAAAUAAGCUUAUAAUUCUAACACAUCUCUAACGUCCAUGCCUUCCAAGAUAUUCUGGAACUUUCUCUUUGCAACACAGCAUGGAGGAGGCUGAGGAUAAGUGGUUGCAAGUUUACACAUUAUAAGAGAUGUGAUGUGAGCUUGUAAUUCAGGUUCUGUGUCAUCUGUGGGAAAAACCAUAGAAUGCUCAUCUCUACUCCUUGCACACACCCAGAUGUGGUAUCAGAUUCUGAUCUCUUUAAUCAUUAAAACUUUUCAUUAUUAUUUGAAUCAGCAUGCUGUAUGGAGAGAUUCAUUGCAGAACAGAAUGUUACUAUGCCGUGUGUUCCCAUCUCUUUCUGCUCUGUACUGGUAAAUGCCUGAAAGUCUUCAGUUACUACAUGAUAUUCCAUACAAACCUGACUUCAAAAGUAAAUGAAGGAUCAUCUUGCAGUCGUGCUCCUACCAGCAGUGCUCUGUUAUAAAGCUUUUUCUUUUACAGCCAAGUGGGCAAGUGCUUGUAACUACUGGUGAGUGGAGCUCCCCUAGGCUGGGGCGGGGGUCAGUGGGGACAGCGAAGGUGUGGUUUUUCAUUCUUGUAUUUCUGCAAGAUGAUUCUGAAAGGUAUUGUCUAAUGAUUUACAAAUCACAAACGGGGUUACAGGGUUCCUACCUACGUGAAACUACAUGAUUCAUGGAAAGAUGCAAUACACCUUACACGUUCUACAGGAUGAAGUCAUUAGAACCCAUCACAUCAUUUUAGUGUCUGAUAGCAUUAGCUUUCAGAAAGUGUGCUUAGAUUAGCUUUCAGAAAGUGUGAAGUCAUAGGCUUCUGUGGCAUCUCUACUGUUUGAUGAGAAAAGCAGGAGCUAGGCACAGAAGUAUUGGACUGCAUCAUGAGAAGCGUGGCCACAGGUCAAGGAGCUGAUCCUGCCCCUCUGCUCUGUGCUGUGAGACCUCACCUGGAGCACUGCGUC